rnacentral:rRNA from 1 species
AUAAUGCCGCGUGUGUGAAGAAGGCUUCGGAUUGUAAAGCACUUUAAGUUGGGAGGAAGGGUUGUAGAUUAAUACUCUGCGAUUUUGACGUUACCGACAGAAUAAGCACCGGCUAACUCUGUGCCAGCAGCCGCGGUAAUACAGAGGGUGCAAGCGUUAAUCGGAAUUACUGGGCGUAAAGCGCGCGUAGGUGGUUUGUUAAGUUGGAUGUGAAAUCCCCGGGCUCAACCUGGGAACUGCAUCCAAAACUGGCAAGCUAGAGUAUGGUAGAGGGUGGUGGAAUUUCCUGUGUAGCGGUGAAAUGCGUAGAUAUAGGAAGGAACACCAGUGGCGAAGGCGACCAACUGGACUGAUACUGACACUGACGGUGCGAAAGCGUGGGGAGCACACAGGAUUAGAUACCCUGGUAGUCCAAGC